CCUCCAUUUCUUGGUGGGUACAGAUGAGUAGGCCUGUCUUCAGUUAAGCAUGGAGACAGAGGAAAGGGCUCAAGCCCUCUUAGUGUCAUGUCUUUGGCAUUGGUGACUUCUCCUUUGUUGCUUCUAUCCUCAAAUGCCACUGGGACACGG